AUGGGCAGGCUCGGAGCCCUCUACGAGCAGGUGAAGAAGCUUAAUUUCCAGGGGUAUGAGGUGAUUCUGUUCGCCUCCGGCGCCGUUGGCAUCGGGAGGCAGAGGCUCAAGUACCGAAAGCUCAUCAACAGCCAUGUUGCAGAGAGUUUUUUCUCACAGCAGUUUACUGACGGUCAUUGCCUCUGGUUAUCGUCACUGCUUGUGUGCUGA
rnacentral:rRNA from 1 species